AAGUCACAGUGCUGACUCAUGUAACCUCUGCACCAAGGCAGCUCUGCAGUACCCAUCACAGCCUGGACUGGAAGGUGCCCCGAGCACUCCUACUUGCACUUGUCUGUAUUCCAAGCUGUAAGCCUCAGCAGAUAGAAUGCUGUGUUGCCUGAGCUGCUCUUAAACUCACCACGUAGCUAAGGAUGACAUUGGGCUCCUGAUUCUUCUGCCUUCACUUUCCAAAUAUUGAGAGGAUAGCUGUGUGCUACCAUGCCUGGGACAUUCUCAAGUUUAAUAUUCAUCAGACGAAAAUACCUCAGCUUUUACCUCUGUGUGACUUAUUUCCUUAUUCUUGUAUGCACAUGUCCAUUUUUUU
rnacentral:lncRNA from 1 species